rnacentral:lncRNA from 1 species
CAGACACGGUACCUGCGCGGUAACAGUUGGCACAGAGUGGUAAUAAUAAGACCUCCUGAACUGGCCUCGAUAAAUAAGCCAAAAGCUAGACAGUGAAGAUCGAGUCAGGUAAGAGAGUCAUGAAUAAGUGUUUACAUGGACGCGUUUCGGAAUAACGCUUGGCAUAAACCACCCCUCUUGAUCGGAAUGCAAUUUCUUUCCGAUUGAGCCGAAAAUGAUCAGAAUCCUCCGAUCGGCAUGUUUACAUGACGCAUUUUUAUUCCGAUCGGACAUUUAUUCCGAUUAUUUGUGCCCAUGUAAACAAAGCUAACGUUUUUGUCACCAGUGCAUCAAGCCUGUGCCUGAACAUAGCCAAAAAUAAUCAACUCACUGUUCUUUGUAUUUUUCCUGGUUUGCCAUUUUGUUCAUUGCUGAAACAUAGUGCUAAGUGCCUCACAAAUAUCUUGGACAAGAUGAGUACCCAAAGACAGUUAUUUUCUCUAAGAUUAGUUUUCAGGAUUUUGGACUACAACUGAAGAGGACUGGACAGUGGACUGCUGAGGAAGUGGGGCAAGAGUAGGGAGUGACAUGUGGGAAAGUAGCCACAGGUUGGAAGUGAACCCAGGCCGUCUGUGAGACGAUUACAAUAUCAAGAUAGUCCUUCAGCAAAACAGAGACUAGUCUGGAUAUUGUUUCGGAAAUGACAAAGGCAACUGUGCAAACCAGUUUAGGCAGCACCCUGGGGUUUAUUUUCCUGAUGAAGGAAAAACUGAUGCAACAUAAUUAUAGAGAGGAUUGAACGCUUUGAUUUGAUCAUGAUGAGAGAAUUUUGCAUAAAGAUAAUCUUUUCAUGCUUUCUGCCCCACGAUAAAAGACUGGAAGUUUCACAGCUGGAAGAAAUGUACAGAGUGUAGACGAUCAUGACAUUUGACAGGGUUAAAGUCUUAAAAUCUGGCUUAGGUCAGCUGUAGCUUAGCAGGAAAAGAAAGUUUGAUGUUGCACAAGGAACUAUUCCCAAAUCGGAUGACUCACUCAGAGGCAGAAAGUUCUUCUAGGGUCCAAACGGAGAAGACACAAAACUGUGCACAUGACCAAUCUCUGCAGCUUUAUGUCUCUCUAAUAGUCUGUCUUAGUCCACAAAUCCUUUUUAGCAUAUCUUUAUAGAUACACACGGAAAAUAGAUCUUUGAGCUCUUCUGUAAACAAGGUCUUCUUUCUUUGGCCAAACGACAAUCUUUUGCUGGCUCUGGAUCUCUGGUCUCUAGACAGAGAAUUGAAGAGAAAUCCACAUCUGCUCAUCUGUAUAUAAGAUUGACAGACUGACUGACAUUACAAGUAAAGGCCAAAAUAAGCAUCUAUUUUGUUUCUGGUCAUAGUAGAUAUUAGAUGCUUAGCUUUGGCAAUGUUGAGCUCUUUUCUUGUCCAGUCUUACCAAAUCCAGCAGCUGGUUUCCUCUGCUAGACAGACAGCAGAGGCAGUCCUGUGACUUUGUCAUUGGCUGAAGAAAGCAUGUUUCCAAAGUCAGAUGUUUUAAAAUCUGUCGGGUUUGUGCCAUAAAACUUUUGCUCCACUUCUAGAAAAAUGGGAAAUUUGUGUUAUUUUUCUCUACAGCAUCCCCACGAGGUUGCAUAUUAUUUCAUGAACAACUAGCUAGCCAAACCAUCGCGUAGAUCUUUGCCAACAUGGUUAGCUUCCGGUAUUAGCUUCACUGAUAUGAAUGCUCACAGCUAGCACGGCUGUAGACUUGAGGUUUGUUUGUUAUACUGGCAUAUCAGGAAGCUAAUUUAAUGUGUCAGGUUUGAUAUUUUCAUGAGAUUUGAGCUGUUGUGCAUUUUACCUUGAUAUAAAUACGUCAAAAGCAAAACUGUACAGUGGCAUAAAUUGAAAAUUAGACUGAUAAAGUGUCAUUAUUGCUCAAUCAUAAAUGUCAGGAAGCAGAUAUUUUCCUUUUCUGUUAAAAUACAGUAAAAAUAAUAUUUUCGAGCUGUAGUGGAGUUUGAUUUUGUAUGUAUUUUCCUUCUUAUGGCAUGUUUUCAAGGAGAGGAUGUAAUUGGCGCUGCUCAGCACCUGGCAGGUCAGGAAAGAGAAAAAAAAAUGAACACAGAAGGUACGACAAUCAUCAACAUGGCAUGAGAGAAUCAUUACACUGUACUAGACGACAGUGUUGCAUAACGAGGAAAACUCUGGCAGACUGUAAAACACAGACUGUUCAUCAUAUUCCUGCCAAGAUCAACAGAGAGCUGAACUAGUUUGAACCGGAGCUUCAAGUCUUCCUGAGGACUUCCUUUGAAACUAAAUGAGGCCUUAAGAGCCAAUUCUACUUCAGUCACGUGUGCAAAUUAAACCUUGACACCAUGUCAAAAUGUUCGAUAGUAAAGUGGAAACAGCAACGUUUGAGACAGAAAUCUUCCUAUUACAUAAGAUUGAUGUUUAGCUCCAGUAAUCACGCUGCACGAAG